rnacentral:rRNA from 1 species
AUGGCUAAGGCCUGCUGGUUCUUGGUCUUUGUGGGGGUGUGGUGGCGGCCACUGAUGCUCGUGGUGGCCGAGGACCAGCAGGGUGGAGACUGCUCGGACGAGAAGUGCGGCAACGUCAGCAUCUUGGAUCCUUUCUGGCUCACCGACAAAGCUACGGGAAAAUCAUGCAGUUCUGAUCCCCACCCGGGCUACGAUGUCGCUUGCACCAACAACAGCGAUCCAACUCUACGGAGCUCUAUACCCCUCAACAGAGGCUUCAAAAUCCUCAACAUCUCUUACGAGCAACGCAGCUUCCAUGCCGUUGAUGUCGGCAAGCUGGACGUAUUGAACGCCACCGACAAGUGCCUUGCGGUGUUCUAUAACACCUCAGUCAAACUGAAGGGACGCCCGUUCAAGAUCGCCCCCGUCAACCUGAACCUCAUCCUGUACAACUGCACCGAGGAGGACGGAGCAGCGGCCGCGGCACGUCAGAACAUAGAGCUGGUGAAGAUGAACGUGAGCUGCAUGAACGAGUGGGAGGUGCUUGUCCGCGCGGGAGUAUCUCACGACGCGACCGGGAACUAUGCUAGCUACGCUCUGGAGGGCUGCAAUGCUCUCAUCAUGCCGGUGCUGGCCUCGUCGGCAGGGGCGAAUGCGAGCGAUUACGAGCAGCUCAUGAGGGAUGGCUUCCUCCUGACAUGGGAUGUGCCGCUCCCGCCUCAUCCCCCUAUCUUUCCACGUAGCAGCGAGAGGAGAGGGAAGAAGAUUAUGGUAAUAGGUAUGACAUCAGUAGCUGCAACAUUUCUCUUUGCAUGUCUUUAUGUGCUGAUAUGGCAUAGAAAGGGGAAAAGACUAUGGUUUCUCCUUUGCAAGAAGACUAGCAGCACCACUGAAAAGAAUUAUGAGGCCAUGAUAGUGUCGUAUGGAUCCCUAGCUCCAACAAGAUACACGUACUCAGAGGUAAUGAAGAUAACAUCUUCUCGCAACAAUCAGCUUGGGAAAGGUGGUUAUGGUGUGGUUUUCAAAGGAAGACUACAUGAUGGUCCUCUGGUGGCUGUGAAAUUCUUGCAUGACUGCAAAGGAAAUGGGGACGAGUUUGUGAAUGAGGUCAUGAGCAUUGGCAGGACCUCUCAUGUUAAUGUUGUUAGCUUAUUUGGGUUUUGUUUGGAGGGAUCAAAACGAGCUCUUAUAUACGAGUACAUGCCCAACGGUUCCUUGGAUCAGUACAUUUAUUCAGAGCACCCCAAAGAAAUUUUAGGAUGGGAGAGGCUUUAUGCGAUAGCAAUCGGGAUUGCGCGUGGCCUCGAAUACUUGCACCAUAGCUGUAAUACACGUAUCGUCCAUUUCGAUAUCAAGCCCCAAAAUAUCCUUCUAGACAAAGAUUUUAGCCCAAAGAUUGCUGAUUUUGGUCUAGCUAAGUUGUGUCAUACAAAGGAGAGCAAUCUUUCAAUGACUGGAGCUAGAGGAACAAUUGGAUUCAUCGCCCCAGAAGUUCACUCUCGAACCUUCGGGGUGGUUUCAACAAAGUCAGAUGUUUAUAGUUAUGGAAUGAUGCUGCUGGAGAUGGUUGGAGGUAGGAGAAACGUAAAAUCAAUUGUUGCAAAAUCCAGCGAAAAGUAUUUUCCAGAUUGGAUUUACGAUCACUUUGCACAAGAUGAUGGACUACAAGCAUGUGAAGUGACAAGAGAAAUUGAGGAGAUUGCGAGAAAGAUGACAUUCAUUGGCUUGUGGUGCAUACAAGUGUUACCUAUGUAUCGCCCUACUAUAACCAAAGUUCUAGAAAUGUUUGAGAGAAGCUUAGAUGAUCUGGACAUGCCGCCGAAGCAGAACUUCUGUGAACUACUUGAAAGUUCAGCUCACAAUAUGGAUGUACAAAGUUCAAGUUCUACCAGAUCUGAGCAGAUAGGCCUUGUGAAUCAAGACUGUGAGAAGGUGGCCUGUACUAGAGUACAUUCAGAAAUUGAACAAGCGCAGCGAAAUUCGGCAUUGUAG